AGGUAAUUGUAUGCUGCACUUAAGAAUGCUGGACUGGCUGUCAGGCCCAUUAGCUCAUGAAUACCCCACAUACUAUCAGGGAAAAGUCUGGUACAGCCAACUAGAUUUAUUUGCCUUCAACUUUCGUGCUCCCAGGCAAUUAAAUUCAGGUUCUUGUGUGGAGGACUGCUGGUUGCAGGGUGGCCUUGAAUCUCAGCCCAUGUCCUGCCCAUUCAUGUCCCUCAACCAAUAACCUCAAAGAACCCUAUCUGCUCUACAGACUCAACUAACAAUCCCACAGGAAAGACCUGUCUAUAGUGGCCUCUACCUUUUCUGUUGGGAACUGGGGUGGAUACGGGAUUAGUGCUAAUAAACACACUCAGAGCACACAGUCAUGUUCUAUACUUCACUCCCAGAUGGUAUACCUGGUGAAUGAUGAAAAGUUUUCCAAUGAGUGUUGAGUUAUUUGAUUAGAUCACAGCAGUUAGGCUAGUCAAGAAGUUAGCUGUUGCUUUAGAUUCCUAGACAGUGCAUUUGUGAUCGAGGAAUGUGUUUAUAUCUAUUUCUUUCCACACUAUAAUAAUCCGUAAUAUGAAUUAAGUAUUAUUCUAAUAAUUUUUGUUGUUGUAAUAAAUGUUUUAGAAAACUGUUCUUGUUUUGACAAAUAAGUGUGAUAAGUGUAAGUUUAUAAUGGAAAAGAGAAAAGCUGCCUUGCAUGGUAUACAGCAAUUAGGAGGCCAUAAUGAUGGUAGUUUAAGAUUUCAUUCUGUUCCCUCUAGUGACUGAUAGAGUCUAUCAAUUACUGCAUUAAACCUAACAGCAGCUGCAGCUGCAUCCCUAAUCGUUGCCUAAACUGCUGUUGGGUCCUUUCCUUCCUACCGCCACACACUGUGGUUCAAGCAGUUCAUCAUAAUCUAUUUACACCCUCCCCAUAAGACCACUUCUUUUGCUCUCCAGCAUCUAAAAGAUGUUCAUAUGCUCACCUUACGAUGAAAUGACAGAAUGGAUGCUCUCAGCAUGAACACUCAUUCAUGUGCAAAGGCAGCUCCAUGUGAUGCCAUGGCAAAUCUAAGAGGAACUACAAACAACAUCUCCUUCAGCUGUUUAGCUUCAGCUUCCAUUCCAGACCCGAAAAACAGGCUCCAUUCACCCACAGCUCUUUGUUUCACCCAUAAAGAUCUGAUAUUGGUCUUUUUUGUAAGCAAGACAGUUGUAGCAGGGUUAUCAAGUAACAGAUUUCUCCAGCUCAUAGAUGACUACGGGCUUUUUUUCCUCUCCUCUACUCCCUCGAAAUAUUCUGGCCUAGUAGACCAUUAAGCUCUCGGAAAUUUGCACUCAUCCCAAAAGUUUCCAGAAGAGCAGAUGAAGGGAGUCGGGAGCAGAUCAGCUGGCCUGCCAUCCUUCGCUUCGUGCCAGACCGCCGGAUUGGCUGCAAGGCCGGGGGCCAUCUUGACUGACUGGCAGGCAAGAGGCUCGAACAGUUUGGUUGUGAGAAGAGGGGGGAAAAAAACAAGGAUGAAAAAAAACAAGUGGGUGUUUAUAGGCACAGAUCUGACGGACCGGGAAAGGAGACAGACUGCAAAGGAGACAAAUGUUUGUGUGUGUGCAUGAGGUCAUGAAUGAUACAAUGCAUUUUAAAUGUGGUAUUGCAAGGGAUCACAUGCAAAUGGAGCUUGUAAUUGUUUGGGGUUUUUUUUGGUUUGGAUUUUUUUGGGGGGGUAAAUUGUUUAUGUUGUGUAAAAUAUUUGUUGUUUGAUAUUGAAUAGAGAAGAUUGAAUUGACUUGAAAUAAAAUAUUAAAAAGCAACUGCACAUUUUCAUUAUACAGUCAUGGAACUGGCCCUGUUUAAGUGAUUAGUUGCAACAUCUGAUCUGUUUGUUAUAAUAAAUAAAAUCAUGGGCAAAUAUGUGUGUGUGUGUGUGUGUGUGUGUGUGUGUGUGUGUGCGUGUGUCAUCCAUGGUCAAGUAUUGCCUGAGGAGAGACCAUCAGUCUGUGGAACCAAGCAGCUUGCCAGGAUACCAAGUGCAAGCUUUGGGCGAAGCUGUGCAGACUCAGAACCUACUAGCUGCUGGGGCCCAAGAUGUUUUCAAAUCUCCUCUACUCAUGUCUUGCUGAGGGUGGCCAUCUGUUUUUUCAUCUCCUGGUGAAGCUCUUUCUCUCUCUCUCUCUCUCUGUGUCUCUCUCUGUCUCUCUCUCUCUCUGUCAGUCCCUCUACUGAAGGACAGUUUAAGCACUUUGCUUGACACUUUCAUUUUGUUGAAUUUUUUUUCUUUUAAUCAUUAUCAUUUCCCACAAAUGUGUCAAGUCAGGCCUUGUGAUGCUCUUGCAUAAAGUUCAAGUGUCAUUUUAUUAUGCAGCAUUAAAGUGUCUCACUCUGUAGUAAAUGCUGCCGGAGGACACGACUAAAGAGGCAGCAUAUGGCCUGCCAGAUUUAUAGCUUUAUGACACAGCUGACCGUGACACAGAAAUUCAUUUUAUAUGAGUGGAAAUUUGAAGCUCAUAUUCACACCAACAAGAAGCAAACUAUGCAACAUAAGUGUGCUAGUGCUCUUGAGUAUGGACUAAGUACAGUGUGUAAAGUGUCCACUGCUGUGGAGUCACUGUCUGCAUAGUAGUGUUACACCUGAGUGGUCAGUCUGAAUGAGGUUGAUUAGUAAAUAUAUAGUUUUGACUGCAUAGCAAUUGGAGUUUCACUGUAUUCACACCACACUUCACAGUCUAAGUAUAGAUGCACUGAUUGGUUUGCAUCAUGCUGGUGUGAAUAUGAGACCCAUAUUUAAAAAUCUCUAUUAAUCAAAUCCAAUAAUCUACUUUUUUGUAACUAUUAUUUAUUCAUUUCGUUCAUCUUCAGUAAGUGCUUUAUACUGAUCAGGAUUGUGGUGAAUCCAGAGCCUAUCCUGGAACAAUCGCCGUGAGGCAGUAAUACACCAUGGACGGGACACCAGUCACUGAGAACCCACACAGACUCAGGGAAAUAGACAGUAGCCCGAGCUCAGGAUCGAACCAGGUUGGAGCUGAGAGGUGGCAACGCAAUAAUAAUAAUAUAUGAAAUAUAAAGCAUUCUAUUCCUAAGCAUUAUGAGAUUGUCUUGUCUCAGAACAUUCCAUCUUAUCCAACACUGUAAAAAUUAAGCAUCAAUGGACAUAUACUUGGAAUGUCCAACCUGCAAAGUCAAUUAAUUAUUUUCCCAAUUAAUCAGGAUAUUAAGAAGCAAAAGCAAGGGUCACAGUCAGGUGCUUUCUUCCAUAAAUGAGCUGAUUCCAAUAUUAAUACAUGAAAGGGUGACUUCAGUCGUAGAUCAAGGUAAUUGCAGUAUUAAGCAGAAAAUUGGAGCUAGAAUAACUGGAUGCAAAAGAGGUGACCAUAUCCCACUUGUGAAGUGCUUAUUCUAAGUUCAAGGAGAGUUCAAGCAUAGAGGAGAUAAUGGUGCAGGGUCAAGUACGCGGAGACAUUUCAUGUUCCGGAGGAAUUAUCUUCAGCAAAUAUACGAUUUUCCAAAGGGAAUAGCUGUCUUUGGGCUUAUGGUGGUUCAUACCUCAUUUGAUUUUCCAUAAGUCUUUAUUUCCUGUGCACUAUUAGUGAAAUAUGUCCAUACCUUAGGCAUGCGAAUAAUGUGUCCUUUUCAUCUCAUACAGAAUCUACUGCAUGUGUGGUCUGUAAUGCAAAAAUAUAAUGAUUGUAAAGUCCUUUGUGAGAGUGUGUGUG